rnacentral:rRNA from 1 species
GUUGAACGCUGGCGGCAUGCUUUACACAUGCCAGUCGAACGGUAACAGGCCUUCGGGUGCUGUCGAGUGGUGACCGGGGGCGUAAUGCAUCGGAACGUAUCCAGUGGUGGGGGAUAACGCAGCGCAAGCUGUGCUAAUACCGCAUGUGAUCUGAGGAUGAAAGCGGGGGACCUAGCAGCAAUGUUUGGCCUCGCGCCUUUGGAGCGGCCGACGUCGGAUUAGCUAGUUGGUAGGGUAACGGCCUACCAAGCCAACGAUCCAUAGCGGGUCUGAGAGGGUGAUCGGCCACACUGGAACUGAGACACGGCCCAGACUCCUACGGGAGGCAGCAGUAGGGAAUUUUGGGCAAUGGGCGCAAGCCUGAUCCAGCAAUGCCGCGUGAGUGAUGAAGGCCUUCGGGUUGUAAAACGCUGUUAGCAGGGACGAAAAUAUGUCCGCGAAUACGGGGCCAUAAUGACGGUACCUACAGAAAAAGCACCGGCUAACUACGUG